UAAUAUGACUGUAUUGCUUGUCUUUCUUCUCCUAGUUACUUCUCCACUUAACUCCGCUAUCAAACUAGGGAUAUUUGAACUAAGCCGAAUCUGUGGAGCGCUCUUAGCGCAAGCCAUAAGAAGGAAGCAACCUACCUUUAAUUGCUCUUUCAGCCAAGUCGAAAGAUGAAAAGGGGCUUUCUUCUAAAGUAGUCCUUUUUUUUAUAGAAGGUCAUCUCCAAGUCGAGAAAGGUUCUUUGAUUCUAUACACUAAAAACCAUGAAAUACCUCUUUUGCUUUAAAAAAAU
rnacentral:lncRNA from 1 species